UUGAAUUUUAGAGAAAGUGCACUCACAGCAAGAACUGUGUCAUGGACGAGAUCAUUGCAAGGGUGGGACCAGAGUCACAGCGCUCUCAUGAACAUGGAAUCAAGCACAUACAGAUAAGCUCCAAGACCACAAACUUUUAAAGAAACGGACGUCAUCAGAGGAAUACUGUGACUUAAGAAUGCUCUUACUCUGACUAGGAGUAUUCGUCCCAGACAACUGAUACAACACCAUGAUGUGGCAAUGAGGAUGUUCAUGUACAACAAACUCGAACAUAAUGCAAGCACUCCAGUUGUAAUGUUCAAUUCCAUUGUUUGUGUGUGUAAAUACAUGUACUUAAAUUUAUUGUCUUUUGUAGUUACAUGCAUGACAAUCUGUAAAUUGUAACAAAAAAAUCAUACCUUUUGGCCAACAGACUUGCUUUAAAGUGUAAAAAACAGUGUGGCAGAGAGAAAAUGUGCCCUGUCACUUUAAGGAUCUACCGCCAAUCCCAAACCUGAAAGUAUAAAAUGGCUGCUCAUUUGAGUGCACAAGGUGUAUGAGACAGAUGUGUGAGAUAAGGUGUGAAACAAGUGUGGGGUGAACAGAGUUAGUGCUUGGAGAAAGUUUGCCCAGUGUACGUGUGAUAUCAGGAGUGCCACUGGAGUGAGAAAAGAACAAAGAGGACUACAAAAAGUUACUAACUAGUGCUUAACAUUGUUUGCCUGGAUACAAAGAAUGGACCAAACCAUCUAACCACUGACUCAAUGUUUAAAACGGAGUGGCGUGAGUAGCAGAGGAUUGCUGACCUGCUGAAGUGCUCUGUAGCAGAGUUAAGUUGGAUACAAGUGUCUGAAGUGCCACGUGAUCACCUAGGUUUGCUGACCUACUCCAUACCCUCAUUUGUGACUCUCCCUCUGCAUCCUUGAAGCCUCAAGCCACACCAAUGUACAUGUGAACUCCCCUAACCAGCACCCUCUCAUUCUUGUCUAAACCUGUCUGGCGCCCGAAUGUAUUUGUUCAAUUAUUAUUAUUAUUUAAUGGAAUUAUUUAUUUACAUUUAUUCUGGGUGCCGCCACCAUUAAAACAGACACUCUUUAAAACCUGUUUACCUCAAAAUGCCUUGAUAGAACUCAAUAAAAGAUUUGUCAACUAAAUGACAAAAAAUAUUUUGUCAAAUGAGGAGUCAGCAUUUAUACUCAUAUUCAUGCUGUUCCAAACCCAAACGACUGGGAGGAACUCAAAAAGAGAUGUCAGGAAUAAUGAUAGGGACUGACAGCCUCGCUUUCAUUUCAGCCUCAUUGGCAGCAUCUACAACAUAUUCUCAUAUUCCACAGAAGAAACUAAAUAGUACAGGUUUUAAAAAAACAUGAGGGUGAGUAAAUGACAGCAUUUUCAUUUUUAAGUUAGUCAACCCAAAGACAAUGUUACGGUUUAUUUAAAUUUCGUAUUGCACUUUAAUUUCAAGAUACGACAUUGUAACUUAAAAUAAAUCUGACAUAACAGAAAAAUAAAGAAUCUCAUAUUACACAUUUUAAAAGGGGUCCUGUAUUGGAGCUGGAACCACUGAGUUUUGGAGCAGGUGAUUUAAGUGCUCAAAGCUGAUGGGCAGUACACAGGGGAAACAUCUGAAAAAGAUGGCAAUAACCAAUGAGUCAAUUAUCACUGUCAGAACAUAAUGCUGGAUUUUAAGUAGGGACCCCAAAAUAUAUGAAUUCUUGCUAAAAUGCAAGAUUCUAAUAAAUAUUACCUUACAACUGCUUUUAUUAAUUAACAUAAUGUGAAACCAAAUUAUUGGCAUAGCAGAUUUGGUACACUGUGUAAUAUAGGGUAGUAUACAACAGUUAGCUCCGGUCCUCGAAUCUGAUUGGACGAGAGACGUUCCAUGAGCACUGAUGGUCUCACACCAUCAGCACUCGGAUACUUCACUGUGUGUAUCACUCUGCUUGUGUUCAUGCUGUUCUAAACUAAAGUGUAAG